AUAAAAGUCCCAAUUUAAUGGCUAUACACUUAUUUUUAUUUAUAAUUUAAACAACUUAACACUUAUUAAUCGUUAUUCGAGUUUAGAACUUAUAGCCCUUUACUAAGCAGCACUCUAAUUAGAACUGUUCCUGCUGCACAAUCCGGCUGCCCUUAUAUAGGAGAUUGUUACCAAAACAUCGCCAUUCGAACAUUCUGUUAGUUGGUUCUAGUAGUUUAUCGUUGAUUAUAUUUUGUUCCACAAUCGGAUUAUUAUUAUUUUAUGCACAAGGUUAUUAGAGAGAGACGCUUUAUACGGCACUGAAAUCCACAUGUUUGGUGUCUGGAGACUUGAAAAGCUAUUGUCUUAUUUCGACUGGACGUUAAAUGGCAUACCUCAGAAGCACUAUUCGUGCAAGGUUUUAUUCCCAUCAUCUUAUUGCAGCUUGAUUUAUAUUGGUAAAUUGACCUUUUCAUGUGGACUUUAAAAUUUUGUUAUAUGGAAAGUAGGAGUGAUUGUAUUCAAAUUUGGACCAUUUUUAUUAUUUUCAGCCCCCAGAUGCCCCUUUCCACUGCGAUACCUUGUACCAAAUGACGCGUUUUGUAUCCUACUUUGCAGUUUAGUUAUAGCCCUUUAUAUGUUUUGCUUAAGGUCAUUUUGUGGUCGUAGCAAUGGUCGAUUCCGCCCUGAAAAUAAUGUCACAAAGAGCUUACAAACAAAAUUUCAUGUUGCCACGCCUUUUAUUGUGGGCGGUAGAGAAAGUUGCUUGUGAGCAAUAUUGAGCUAUGGUGGUAUAAGUUGAAAUUUAAAGAGUGGAAUGUGCCUUAGUUUUUUUGAGUACCCAGGAAUUAACUACAGAUGUGCCGAAACACCAACAGUCUCAUAUACCACUUCUUUGAGCGGUUAUUAACUUUAUACAGUUCCAUUAGCAUGUCUGAAAGAUAUUCUCCUCCCAUAUAUUUAUUAAAGCAGGCGACAAUAUCAGGCCUAGGAAUCUUUAAAUACUUUUCUGUGCUCCAAUAUCCGCAAUUUCCAAUUAGUUCAACUCCCAUAUAAGACGAUAUAAAUUGAACCGACUUGUUAUCAAACUACAGAACACAUAUUAAAUUGUGAUGUAUUCCACAUUUAUUGUCAUAGAACCCUCUUCCACGUUUUUUCAAUUUACAAUCUGAAAUCAAUUCGCACAGUGUCGGUUCCAAAUAUACCAAUUUCUUUUAAAUCUAGUAGAAGACUAGUUGUCAAAAUAGAGCUAAAAAUUUUGGUGCUUUGAAAGAUUGUUGGUUAAAUAAGUAAAUGACUAUGUCUGAAGAAAUUCCCAAGCCAUAUAAUAGACAGGUUCCCUCACCAACAUAGAGGGCAAAAUCAUAUACCAUUCCAGACGUUCCAGCGCGUGUGAACCUUUUCAUCCCCAACUUAUGGGGCCUUGCGGGAUUAUACUGCUUCAAAUUCAAUAGACUCGUAAUGAAUGAGGACUUGAGUAAAAUAUAACGACAGGGACUUUUCCACUCACAAUUGAAUGUAAUUAUUUGCUCGUCAAUACUUUGGUGCUCUUUUUGGUUCAGAACUUUUCCUUUAGAUCAUUUAACAAAGUCAUAAUUUGGACUUCCCUUUUCAGGGUAAACAGUGUUGCACGGGUUUUGCGUUGACACCUUUCAAUAUACUUGUCAUUACUGACCGAAACGAAGGGAAAUUAAAACAAACAAAAGUUAAACUUAUUAGUGAUUUUACACAUAAAUAGUUUCGUGAAAUCAAGGAAUCGUUUAAAUUGUAAAACUACAACAGUUUUUAAUUGUCUUUUGGAAAGUUCCUCGUGCGUUUACAUUUAAUUAUAUAAAACUUCAAACUGUGUUGGGUUUGUUUGGGAGGAUUUCGGCGAAUUCGUAAAGCAACAACGGUAUUCCUAAAAAUCACCAAUCAUGCCUGCCAUAUCUUCAAAGAAAGACUGUAAAAUCUGCACUACAUUUAAGAGGUUAAAGUCAUUAUACAGUAGAUCGUUACAUCUACAUCGCCACUGGAGCCAUUUCGCUAUCUGGUUUAUUCUCUCAAAUUAUCGUUGACUCUGUUUUAUUUUGGCAUGCGUGUUCACCACAAUAUUGUUAUUGGAUUAUACCGGCAAUUUUGUUUUUGUAAAUAAUAUUUGUACUGUAUUCAAUAGUUUAUUAUAAUGGUCUUUAAUGUAUACAUAGCAACGCGAAUCUGUUAGUACUUAUAUAUUUAUAAUACCUAUAAAGCAAUAAUUUUAAACUACAAUAUUACAAAUAAAUUUGUUAUUCAUUUUUUUAUUUUUCGAAUUAUUUAAAAA